AGGUCAAUAAUAAGAACUUUAUAUUGUCUUGAAGAGAGGUGAUGACUUAAAAAUCAUGCUCAGUAGGAUUACACUGAGGCCC
ensembl:snoRNA SNORD115 Small nucleolar RNA SNORD115